AUGUGAGGCAGUCCUGGUGAUCUAUUCCAUUUAUCACCAGGGUUGGUUUGGCUCAUCUUGCUGGCUAGGUAGGCAUUCCUCCCUUCCUCACAUCUUCAUGUCUGUCCCUCUUGAAGCUGCACACUCAUUGGAAAAGAACCACCAACCCAGCUAGAAAGAAUGAACCAAUCUUCAGUCAAUUGUGUAUGAUAGCUGUUCCUCCCCUGCUAGAACAUCCAAACAAAUAAUAUGCAUUAUGGAAAAAUAAAGUUCCAAAAAUGACUGGGAUGUUUUAAGGCAGGGUGAUGCUCAAGUUUUCAGGCUUUCUGGAAGUCAGCCAUUGUCCUUGUUUCCCAUGAGAGACUGCAGGC
rnacentral:snRNA from 1 species